GAUGAACGCUGGCGGCGUGCCUAAUACAUGCAAGUCGAGCGAACAGAUGAGGAGCUUGCUCCUCUGACGUUAGCGGCGGACGGGUGAGUAACACGUGGAUAACCUACCUAUAAGACUGGGAUAACUUCGGGAAACCGGAGCUAAUACCGGAUAAUAUAUUGAACCGCAUGGUUCAAUAGUGAAAAACGGUUUUGCUGUCACUUAUAGAUGGAUCCGCGCCGCAUUAGCUAGUUGGUAAGGUAACGGCUUACCAAGGCAACGAUGCGUAGCCGACCUGAGAGGAUGAUCGGCCACACUGGAACUGAGACACGGUCCAGACUCCUACGGGAGGCAGCAGUAGGGAAUCUUCCGCAAUGGGCGAAAGCCUGACGGAGCAACGCCGCGUGAGUGAUGAAGGUCUUCGGAUCGUAAAACUCUGUUAUUAGGGAAGAACAAAUGUGUAAGUAACUAUGCACGUCUUGACGGUACCUAAUCAGAAAGCAACGGCUAACUACGUG
rnacentral:rRNA from 1 species